GAUAAACGCUGGCGGCGUGCCUAACACAUGCAAGUCGAACGAUCCCGCAAGGGAGAGUGGCGGAAGGGUGAGUAACACGUGGGAAUCUACCUCCUCGCAGGGAACAACCUCUCGAAAGAGAGGCUAAUACCCAAAGGGUCAGAAAUGAUCAGAGUCGAAAGGCGUGAGGAGAGGAGCCCGCGGCCCAUCAGCUAGUUGGUGAGGUAAUGGCUUACCAAGGCUACGACGGGUAGGGGAUCUGAGAGGAUGUCCCCCACACUGGAACUGAAACACGGUCCAGACGCCUACGGGUGGCAGCAGUGAGGAAUAUUGGACAAUGGGCGAAAGCCCGAUCCAGCAACGCCGCGUGGAGGAUGAAAGGCCUUCGGGUCGUAAACUUCUUUAGAGGGAGACGAGAAAGGACGGUAUCCCUAGAAUAAGCGACGGCAAACUACGUGCCAGCAGCCGCGGUAAU
rnacentral:rRNA from 1 species